rnacentral:tRNA from 1 species
UUCUAUAUGGUCUAGUGGUUAGGAUUCUGGGUUUUUACCCAGGUGACCUGGGUUCAGUUCCAAGUAUGGAAA